rnacentral:rRNA from 1 species
UGGGGAAUAUUGGGCAAUGGGCGAAAGCCUGACCCAGCAACGCCGCGUGAAGUAUGAAGGCCUUCGGGUUGUAAACUUCUUUGAUCAGGGAAGAAACAAAUGACGGUACCUGAAAAACAAGCCACGGCUAACUACGUGCCAGCAGCCGCGGUAAUACGUAGGUGGCGAGCGUUAUCCGGAUUUACUGGGUGUAAAGGGCGUGCAGGCGGGCUGAUAAGUCAGAUGUGAAAUCCCCGAGCUUAACUCGGGAACUGCAUCUGAUACUGUUGGUCUUGAGUGCUGGAGAGGGUAGUGGAAUUCCUAGUGUAGCGGUAAAAUGCGCAGAUAUUAGGAGGAACACCAGUGGCGAAGGCGGCUAUCUGGGCAGUAACUGACGCUGAGGCGCGAAAGCGUGGGUAGCUAACAGG